AUGGUUCUAUGUCGGGAUAUUUACAAAAGACUCAACAUACCUCUUGAUCUCCCUGAGUACAGUUUGGCCGACGGCCUUCCUCACCACUUGCGCUCCGGCCACUGCCCUGCAGAAUUGCUCCAGCUACCCACGGUCCUUCAACAGGCCAGGCCAGCGUCCUGGGCACUGCUCCGCAGCUGACUCAGGCUUAUGCCAAAGACAUGAAAUUUGGUGAGGACACCCAUGCCCUCCUGCUUCAGGGUGUAGACCUCCUGGCCAAUGCUGUUGCCAUUACAAUGGGGCAAAGGGAAGACCAGUGAUUAUUGAACAGAGUUGGGGAAGUCCCCAGGUAACUAGAGUGCUGUGACUGUUGCAAUUGAUUCAAAGGAUGAAUACAAGAAUAUUGGAGCUAAACUUGUUCAAGAUGUUGCCAGCAAUACAAACAAAGAGGCCAGGGAUAGCACCACCACAGCGGCAGGCCUAGCUCGCUCUAUUGCCAAGGAAGUUUUGAGAAGAUCAGCAAAGACACAAACCCCGUGGAAAUCAGGUGAGGUAUGAUGUUAGCUGUUGAUGCUGUGAUUGCUGACCGUAAGAAAGAGUCCAAACCCAUGACAACCCUUGAAGAAACUGCUCAGAUUACUACAAUUUCUGCAAAUGGAGACAAAGAAAUUGGCAACAUCAUAUCUCACCCAAUGAAGAAGGUGGGUCAGAAAGGAUGGAAAAAUCCUGAGUGAUAAACUGGAAAUUAUUGAAGGCGUGAAGUUUGAUCGAGAAUAUAUUUCUCCGUACUUUAUUAAUAUAUCAAAAGGCCAGAAAUGUGAAUUCCAGGAUGCCUAUGUUCUACUGAGCGAGAAGAAAAUUUCUAGCAUCCAGUCCAUUGUACCCGCUCUUGAAAUUGCCAGUGCUCACCGAAAGCCCUUGGCCAUAACUGCUGAGGAUGCUGAUGGAGAAGCUCUCAGUGCUCUGGCUUUGAACAGGCUAAAGGUUGGCCUUCAGGUUGUUGCUGUCAAAGCUCCAGGGUUUGGUGACAACAGGAAGAACCAGCUGAAAGACACGGCUAUUGCAACUGGUGGUGCGGUGUUUGAAGAAGAGGGUUUGACGCUAAAUCUUGAAGAUGUUCAGCCUCACAACUUAGGGAAAGUUGGAGAGGUUAUUGCAACUAAAGAUGAUGCCAUGCUUUUGAAAGGCAAAGGUGACAAAGCACAAAUUGAAAAGCAUAUUCAAGGAAUCACUGAACAGUUAGAAAUCACAACCAGUGAAUAUGAGAAAGAGAAACUGAAUGAGUGGCUGGCGAAGCUUUCAGAUGGAGUGGCUGUGCUGAAGGUUGGUGGGACAAGUGACGUCGAGGUGAACGAGAAGAAAGAGAGUCACAGACGCCCUCAGUGCCACAAGGGCAGUUGUGGAGGAAGGCAUUGUGCUGGGCGGUGGGUGUGCCCUGCUCCAUUGCAUUCCUGCCAUGGACACCUUAACUCCUGUUAAUGAAGAUCAAAAACUUGGCAUAGAAAUUAUUAAGAGAACACUGAAAAUCCCUCUGAUAACCAUUGGGAAGAACGCAGGUGUGGAAGGAUCUUUGAUAGUUGAGAAAAUCCUGCAGAGCUCCUCUGAAGUUGGUUAUGACACUAUGCUUGGAGAUUUUUGUGAAUAUGGUAGAAAAAGGGAUCACUGACCCAACAAGGGUCAUAAGAACUGCUCUGCUGGAUGCUGCGGGCAUGGCUCUCUGUUAACAGCAGAAGUUGUGGUCACAGAAAUCCCUAAGGAGGAGAAGGAUCCUGCCAUGGGUGCCAUGGGUGGGAUGGGGGGGGCGGGAUGGGUGGUGGGGCCCUCACUCAUGAACUGUGA